UGUCGGCUCAUCUUAUCCUGGAGGUGGAGAAGCUUCCAAGGGUUUGGCUGUUCGCCAAUUAAAAAGAUACGUGAGCUGGGUUCAAACCGUCGUGAGACAGGUUGGUCUCCUAUCUUCUGCAGGCGUUGAAUUUUGAGGGGAUUUGCUCCUAGUACGAGAGGACCGGAGUGAACUGACCUCUGGUGUGGCUGCUGUCCUGCCAAGGGCACCGCAGCGUAGCUAUGUCGGGAAUGGAUAACCUCUGAAAGCAUCUAAGAGGGAAACCAACCCCAAGAUCAGAAUUCGUUUGAGGCCCGUAAGAGAUGAUUACGUUGAUAGGCUCUAGGUGUAAGGCAAGUAAUUGCUUCAGCCGAGGAGUACUAAUACGCCGAUUCUUGUUGGGAA
rfam:Candidatus Nomurabacteria bacterium CG1_02_43_90 cg1_0.2_scaffold_21845_c, whole genome shotgun sequence.